UACGUAGGGUGCAAGCGUUGUUCGGAAUUAUUGGGCGUAAAGAGCUCGUAGGCGGUUUGUCGCGUCGAAUGUGAAAUCCCGGGGCUCAACCCCGGGCCUGCAUUCGAUACGGGCAGACUAGAGUUCGGUAGGGGAGUCUGGAAUUCCUGGUGUAGCGGUGAAAUGCGCAGAUAUCAGGAGGAACACCGGUGGCGAAGGCGGGACUCUGGGCCGAUACUGACGCUGAGGAGCGAAAGCGUGGGGAGCAAACAGG
rnacentral:rRNA from 1 species